UCUUCCCUCUGGCGGCGUGCUUAACACAUGCAAGUCGAACGAUGAAGCUCAGCUUGCUGGGUGGAUUAGUGGCGAACGGGUGAGUAACACGUGAGUAACCUGCCCUUAACUCUGGGAUAAGCCUGGGAAACUAGGUCUAAUACCGGAUAGGAGCGCCUACCGCAUGGUGGGUGUUGGAAAGAUUUAUCGGUUUUGGAUGGACUCGCGGCCUAUCAGCUUGUUGGUGAGGUAAUGGCUCACCAAGGCGACGACGGGUAGCCGGCCUGAGAGGGUGACCGGCCACACUGGGACUGAGACACGGCCCAGACUCCUACGGGAGGCAGCAGUGGGGAAUAUUGCACAAUGGGCGAAAGCCUGAUGCAGCGACGCCGCGUGAGGGAUGACGGCCUUCGGGUUGUAAACCUCUUUCAGUAGGGAAGAAGCGAAAGUGACGGUACCUGCAGAAGAAGCACCGGCUAACUACGUG
rnacentral:rRNA from 1 species